AUUGAACGCUGGCGGCAGGCCUAACACAUGCAAGUCGAACGAGUGGCGGACGGGUGAGUAAUGUCUGGGAAACUGCCCGAUGGAGGGGGGUAACUACUGGAAACGGUAGCUAAUACCGCAUACCAUCGGAUGUGCCCAGAUGGGAUUAGCUCGUGGGUGGGGUAACGGCUCACCUAGGCCACGAUCCCUAGCUGGUCUGAGAGGAUGACCAGCCACACUGGAACUGAGACACGGUCCAGACUCCUACGGGAGGCAGCAGGGGGGAAUAGUGCACAAUGGGCGCAAGCCGGAUGCAGCCAUGCCGCGUGUAUGAAGAAGGCCUUCGGGUUGUAAAGUACUUUCAGCGGGGAGGCGUUACCCGCAGAAGAAGCACCGGCUAACUCCGUGCCAGCAGCCGCGGUAAUUC
rnacentral:rRNA from 1 species